rnacentral:rRNA from 1 species
CGGUGGCAAUAGCGGAGGGGAAACACCCGUUCCCAUUCCGAACACGGCAGUUAAGCCCUCCAGCGCCGAUGGUACUGGGACGUUAGGUCCCGGGAGAGUAGGUCGCUGCCGGA